CGGGGUAUAGCGCAGUUUGGUAGCGCGCCUGCUUUGGGAGCAGGAUGCCGGGGGUUCAAAUCCCUCUACCCCGA
rfam:Synechococcus sp. RS9916 scf_1100013018508 genomic scaffold, whole genome shotgun sequence.